UGUGUGUUAGUGGAAGCGUCUGGAAAGGCGCGCGAUACAGGGUGACAGCCCCGUACACAAAAAUGCACAUGCUGUGAGCUCGAUGAGUAGGGCGGGACACGUGGUAUCCUGUCUGAAUAUGGGGGGACCAUCCUCCAAGGCUAAAUACUCCUGACUGACCGAUAGUGAACCAGUACCGUGAGGGAAAGGCGAAAAGAACCCCGGCGAGGGGAGUGAAAAAGAACCUGAAACCGUGUACGUACAAGCAGUGGGAGCACGCUUAGGCGUGUGACUGCGUACCUUUUGUAUAAUGGGUCAGCGACUUAUAUUCUGUAGCAAGGUUAACCGAAUAGGGGAGCCGAAGGGAAACCGAGUCUUAACUGGGCGUUAAGUUGCAGGGUAUAGACCCGAAACCCGGUGAUCUAGCCAUGGGCAGGUUGAAGGUUGGGUAACACUAACUGGAGGACCGAACCGACUAAUGUUGAAAAAUUAGCGGAUGACUUGUGGCUGGGGGUGAAAGGCCAAUCAAACCGGGAGAUAGCUGGUUCUCCCCGAAAGCUAUUUAGGUAGCGCCUCGUGAAUUCAUCUCCGGGGGUAGAGCACUGUUUCGGCAAGGGGGUCAUCCCGACUUACCAACCCGAUGCAAACUGCGAAUACCGGAGAAUGUUAUCACGGGAGACACACGGCGGGUGCUAACGUCCGUCGUGAAGAGGGAAACAACCCAGACCGCCAGCUAAGGUCCCAAAGUCAUGGUUAAGUGGG
rnacentral:rRNA from 1 species